AUUGAACGCUGGCGGCAGGCCUAACACAUGCAAGUCGAGCGGAGCGGCGGUCGGGUGAGUAAUGCCUAUGAAUCUGCCUGGUAGUGGGGGAUAACGUCCGGAAACGGGCGCUAAUACAGCAUACUAUCAGAUGAGCCUAGGUCGGAUUAGCUAGUUGUGGGGGUAAAGGCAUACCAAGGCCACGCUCCGUAGCUGGUCUGAGAGGAUGAUCAGCCCAACUGGAACUGAGACACGGUCCAGACUCCUACGGGAGGCAGCAGUGGGGAAUAGUGGACAAUGGGCGAAAGCCUGAUGCAGCCAUGCCGCGUGUGUGAAGAAGGUCUUCGGAUUGUAAAGCACUUUAAGUUGGGAGGCGUUACCAACAGAAUAAGCACCGGCUAACUUCGUGCCAGCAGCCGCGGUAAUAC
rnacentral:rRNA from 1 species